GCAAUGUGUUUAAUGCAGAAAGAAGGAAAAAUUAACAAAGCACUUACAUGGCUACUUUUUAAAAAACGUUAAACAUGUCUUCCAUACAGGAACUCAUUUUUUCCUCUAAAGCAAUUAACAUAUUUAAAGCUACAGCAAUACAAUAGCAUCUUAGGAAUAUGCUGCUCAUGGCAUCAACUGCAUCACUGAAAGUCCUUCAGGGCAGUUCUUUGUGUUACUAUUAUUUGAAUACCCAAACCUGCCGAGACACAGGUGUUUGAAACCAGCAGUCUCUCUGACUUGGCACACGCCUUCAAAUGGAUGGAACAUCAGGAUGUAACAACAGAAACACAGAAGGCUGGCAGUAAUUAGGACUGACCUGUAAAAUAAGAUGGGGAGCUCAUCUCUGCGUGUGUGGAUGUUCCUGUCUUUCUGGCUACAGACACAACCAAGAGUGCUUUUGAGCUGGCUAGCGUGCUUUUGGCAUUCUAUGCAUCCGAUGGAGGUCUUUUAUGUGCCACAGGCUGCAAAGAUUCAAUGUUUGAAGUUCUCUGAACCUGGGAAGUGCUAUACAGAGAGAAAGUUCUAAUCUCUCUUUUUUUAUCUUCCUGGUCAUUUCUGGAAGAUACAGCAAAAGCUGCAGGUAUCAUGAUAGAUCUGUUUUCCUCACCUGCAUCCAGCCAUGCUAGACUACUUU